rnacentral:rRNA from 1 species
CCUACGGGCGGCAGCAGUGGGGAAUAUUGGACAAUGGGGGGAACCCUGAUCCAGCGACGCCGCGUGAGUGAAGAAGUAUUUCGGUAUGUAAAGCUCUAUCAGCAGGGAAGAAAGAAAUUACGGUACCUGACUAAGAAGCCCCGGCUAACUACGUGCCACCAGCCGCGGUAAUACGUAGGGGGCAAGCGUUAUUCGGAUUUACUGGGUGUAAAGGGAGCGUAGACGGCGAUGCAAGUCUGAAGUGAAAGGCGGGGGCCCAACCCCUGGACUGCUUUGGAAACUGUAUGGCUGGAGUGCAGGAGAGGUAAGUGGAAUUCCUAGUGUAGCGGUGAAAUGCGUAGAUAUCAGGAGGAACACCGGUGGCGAAGGCGGCCUGCUGGACUGCAACUGACGUUGAGGCCCGAAAGCGUGGGGAGCAAACAGGAUUAGAUACCCGAGUAGUC